rnacentral:rRNA from 1 species
GACGAACGCUGGCGGCGUGCUUAACACAUGCAAGUCGAACGGAAAGGCUCUGCUGUUGUGGGGUGCUCGAGUGGCGAACGGGUGAGUAACACGUGAGUAACCUGCCCUUGACUUUGGGAUAACUUCAGGAAACUGGGGCCAAUACCGGAUAGGAGCUCCUGCUGCAUGGUGGGGGUUGGAAAGUUUCGGCGGUUGGGGAUGGACUCGCGGAUUAUCAGCUUGUUGGUGGGGUAGUGGCUUACCUAGGCUUUGACGGGUAGCCGGCCUGAGAGGGUGACCGGCCACAUUGGGACUGAGAUAAGGCCCAGACUACUACGGGAGGCAGCAGUGGGGAAUAUUGCACAAUGGGCGGAAGCCUGAUGCAGCAACGCCGCGUGCGGGAUGACGGCCUUCGGGUUGUAAACCGCUUUCGCCUGUGACGAAGCGUGAGUGACGGUAAUGGGUAAAGAAGCACCGGCUAACUACGUG